AGCAUAUCAAUAAGCGGAGGAAAAGAAACUAACAAGGAUUCCCCUAGUAACUGCGAGUGAAGCGGGAAAAGCUCAAAUUUAAAAUCUGGCGGUCUCUGACUGUCCGAGUUGUAAUCUAGAGAAGUGUUAUCCGCGCUGGACCGUGUACAAGUCUCCUGGAAUGGAGCGUCAUAGAGGGUGAGAAUCCCGUCUUUGACACGGACUGCCAGGGCUUUGUGAUGCGCUCUCAAAGAGUCGAGUUGUUUGGGAAUGCAGCUCAAAAUGGGUGGUAAAUUCCAUCUAAAGCUAAAUAUUGGCGAGAGACCGAUAGCGAACAAGUACCGUGAGGGAAAGAUGAAAAGAACUUUGGAAAGAGAGUUAAACAGUACGUGAAAUUGCUGAAAGGGAAACGCUUGAAGUCAGUCGCGUUGGCCAGGGAUCAACCUUGCUUUUGCUUGGUGUACUUUCUGGUUGACGGGUCAGCAUCAAUUUUGACUAUUGGAAAAAGGUCAAGGGAAUGUGGCAUCUUCGGAUGUGUUAUAGCCCUUGGUUGCAUACAAUGGUUGGGAUUGAGGAACUCAGCACGCCGCAAGGCCGGGUUUUAACCACGUACGUGCUUAGGAUGCUGGCAAAAUGGCUUUAAUCGACCCGUCUUGAAACACGGACCAAGGAGUCUAACAUGCCUGCGAGUGUUUGGGUGGAAAACCCGAGCGCGUAAUGAAAGUGAAAGUUGAGAUCCCUGUCGUGGGGAGCAUCGACGCCCGGACCAGACCUUUUGUGACGGUUCCGCGGUAGAGCAUGUAUGUUGGGACCCGAAAGAUGGUGAACUAUGCCUGAAUAGGGUGAAGCCAGAGGAAACUCUGGUGGAGGCUCGUAGCGAUUCUGACGUGCAAAUCGAUCGUCAAAUUUGGGUAUAGGGGCGAAAGACUAAUCGAACCAUCUAGUAGCUGGUUCCUGC
rnacentral:rRNA from 2 species